rnacentral:rRNA from 1 species
UACGAAGGGGGCUAGCGUUGUUCGGAAUCACUGGGCGUAAAGGGUGCGUAGGCGGGUCUUUUAAGUCAGGGGUGAAAUCCUGGAGCUCAACUCCAGAACUGCCUUUGAUACUGAGGAUCUUGAGUUCGGGAGAGGUGAGUGGAACUGCGAGUGUAGAGGUGAAAUUCGUAGAUAUUCGCAAGAACACCAGUGGCGAAGGCGGCUCACUGGCCCGAUACUGACGCUGAGGCACGAAAGCGUGGGGAGCAAACAGG